GAGGAUGGAAGAAGCUUGGUAGCAGUUGUUACUACGUCUCUACUGAGAAAAAAUCCUGGGAGGAGAGCAGACAGGACUGCAGAAAUAGAGGAGCACACCUGGUUGUCAUCAAGAACCAAGAACAACAGGUGUGUGUGGUACAGAGAAAUAAGAGAGGGAGAUAGAGAGAGUGACAGAGAAAGAGUGAGAGAGAGAUUGACAGACAGACAGAGAGAUUAACAGACAGUAAAUCUCAGUAAAACCAUGAAUACAAAUUCUGUCUAGACAACAUUGCCCAAAACAAUACUACAUCCCUCGGUCUCUACUGAGAAAAAAUCCUGGGAGGAGAGCAGACAGGACUGCAGAAAUAGAGGAGCACACCUGGUGGUCAUCAAGAGCCAAGAACAACAGACAUUAGUCAAUUGGUUAUGCGGGGUAAAGAACUAUGUCUGGAUUGGUCUGACUGACUCUGUUUCUGAGGGGACCUGGAAAUGGGUGGACGACACACCACUGACCAGAAAUUAUUGGAACAGUAAAGAGCCUAAUGGUGGUGGAGCAGAGAACUGUGUGUAUUUCUACUCUUGGUCAGCAGACACAGGAGAAUGGUGGGACUAUUACUGUUACUAUAAAUUCAGAUGGAUCUGUGAGAAAUAGGAUUCAUCCUCGGUACUCUCUGAACUGCUAAAUAAGAUUAUGCUAAGUACUAUCAAUGAGAAACUAUUUCCUGCUUAUUCAUUUACCUUGUCAACUACAUACAAUAUAUAACAAGACAAAUGUAGAAUACAUUAUAAUAAAACUAUAUGCAAUAACAACACAAUGACUUGAUAAGAGAAGGACUGUUCGGUCUGUUGUUGAGGAAAUUCACCACGAAGGACUCAAAUUCAAAGGAAAUUAAUCAAUCUUUAUUAUCACAGUCAGAGGUUCACUGACUCAAAACAAUCCUGAUGUUAAUGUUUAUUAUUAUUACUUUUUACUUUAGUCUACUUGCUAAAUAUUUGUCUUAACUCUUCCCGAACUGCACUGUUUGUUAAGGGCUUGUAAGUCAGCAUGUCACAGUAAAGUCUACACUUGUUGUAUUCGUGGCAUAUUGACAAAUAAAGUUUGAUUUGAUUUGAAGUCAUUGAAGUACGGUUGGUUCCUGCAUGAGACUGACUGAUACCACACCAGGCUUCUUACCUUGACACUGAGAUACUCCUUUUGGUUCCCAGAGCAAU